CGAAAGUUUGGUUAAACUUCCUUCCCUCACCCGUUUGACAUCACUUGAAUCCCUUCGCCUUAAGGGAUGUCGUAGUCUCAAGAAGUUUUCCGGAGAUCCCAAAUAACUUUUAUGAGUUAGAUUUAUCAGAAACCGGAAUAAAAGAAGUACCUGAUUUCAUUGAGCAUCUCGACAGACUUCAUCGGUUGACCUUGACAAACUCAAUGGUAAAAGAUGUAUCAAGCAAUAUUUCAAAGUUGAAAUCCCUUUUUUCUCUACAUCUUAGUGGUUGUCCAAUCGUUAAAUUUCCAACUGUUGAUGUGCCCUCACCAAGCUUGAGCUUUGAAAGCCUUAGGUAUAUGCAGAUGGAUCGUUACAAGACCGUCAAAGUCUCAGAGUCUGCACCAUAUCUGCUCGACUUUAUUGAACAUGACUGCAUAUUAUUACGAAGAGUUUCCUUUGCAGAUCAAAAUUUAUAUCAGUUUGAUUCAUCAGAUGAUGAUUAUAUGUUUUUGAUGCUAUUCUUUAAUUGUUUCAACUUGAAUCAAGAGUCAACUAAUAACAUUGAGGCAAAUGCAUGCUAAAAUUGGAUCCCUAGCUAAGAAAUGGGCAGCGAGAUAUGGCAGGGAAAAACGGCGUGGUAACUUUCAAAGAUUGAUUUGUUGUUUCCCAGGAAACAAAAUUUCAGCAAAU
rnacentral:lncRNA from 1 species